rnacentral:tRNA from 1 species
GGCCCCAUAGUUCAAGGGAUAGAACGACAGUUUCCUAAACUGUAGAUCCAGGUUCGAGUCCUGGUGGGGCUACCA